GACGAACGCUGGCGGCGUGCCUAAUACAUACAAGUAGAACGCAGUUGCGAACGGGUGAGUAACGCGUAGGUAACUACCUGGUAGCGGGGGAUAACUAUUGGAAACGAUAGCUAAUACAGCAUACUACCAAAUGGACCUGUGUUGUAUUGGCUAGUGGGUGGGGUAACGGCUCACCAAGGCCACGAUGCAUAGCCGACCUGAGAGGGGGAUCCGCAACAAUGGGACUGAGAAACGGCCCAGAUGCCUACGGGAGGAAGCAGUAGGAAAUCUUCGGCAAUGAACGAAAGGCUGACAGAGAAACGCAGCGUGACUUAAGAAGGUUUUCGGAUCGUAAAAUUCUGUUGUUAGAGAAGCGGUAUCUAACCAGAAAGCCACGGCUAACUACGUGCCAGCCGCCGCGGUAAUAC
rnacentral:rRNA from 1 species